rnacentral:rRNA from 1 species
AUACGUAGGGGGCAAGCGUUAUCCGGAUUUACUGGGUGUAAAGGGAGCGUAGACGGCAAAGCAAGUCUGAAGUGAAAGCCCCGGGCUCAACCCGGGAAUUGCUUUGGUAACUGUUUAGCUAGAGUGCAGGAGAGGUAAGCGGAAUUCCUAGUGUAGCGGUGAAAUGCGUAGAUAUUAGGAGGAACACCGGCGGCGAGGGCGGAUUACUGGACUGUAACUGGCGUUGAGGGUCGAAAGCGUGGGGAGCAAACAGGAUUAGAUACCCUGGUAGUCCACGCCGUAAACGAUGAUUACUAGGUGUUGGUUGUCAUAGACAAUCGGUGCCGCAGCAAACGCAAUAAGUAAUCCACCUGGGGAGUACGUUCGCAAGAAUGAAACUCAAAGGAAUUGGCGGGG